GCUUAGAGUUUGAUCCUGGCUCAGGAUGAACGCUGGCGGCGUGCCUAACACAUGCAAGUCGAACGGACUCUUCGGAGUCAGUGGCGGACGGGUGAGUAACGCGUGAGAACCUGCCUCUAGGAGGGGGAUAACAGCGGGAAACGGCUGCUAAUACCCCAUGAGCCGUAAGGUAAAAAGGAAUCCGCCUAGAGAGGGGCUCGCGUCCGAUUAGCUAGUUGGGGAGGUAAAAGCUCACCAAGGCGACGAUCGGUAGCUGGUCUGAGAGGAUGAGCAGCCACACUGGGACUGAGACACGGCCCAGACUCCUACGGGAGGCAGCAGUGGGGAAUUUUCCGCAAUGGGCGAAAGCCUGACGGAGCAACGCCGCGUGAGGGAAGAAGGCCUUUGGGUUGUAAACCUCUUUUCUCAGGGAAGAAGUUCUGACGGUACCUGAGGAAUCAGCCUCGGCUAACUCCGUGCCAGCAGCCGCGGUAAUACGGAGGAGGCAAGCGUUAUCCGGAAUUAUUGGGCGUAAAGCGUUCGUAGGCGGCCGUUCAAGUCUGCUGUCAAAGUCCGAGGCUCAACUUCGGGAAGGCAGUGGAAACUGAACAGCUAGAGGUCGGAAGGGGCAGAGGGAAUUCCCAGUGUAGCGGUGAAAUGCGUAGAUAUUGGGAAGAACACCGGUGGCGAAAGCGCUCUGCUGGGCCGAACCUGACGCUGAGGGACGAAAGCUAGGGGAGCGAAUGGGAUUAGAUACCCCAGUAGUCCUAGCCGUAAACGAUGGAGACUAGGUGUUGCCUGUAUCGACCCGGGCAGUGCCGAAGCCAACGCGUUAAGUCUCCCGCCUGGGGAGUACGCACGCAGUGUGAAACUCAAAGGAAUUGACGGGGGCCCCGCACAGCGGUGGAGUAUGUGGUUUAAUUCGAUGCAACGCGAAGAACCUUACCAGGGCUUGACAUCCCGCGAAUCCCGGCG
rnacentral:rRNA from 1 species